rnacentral:rRNA from 1 species
AACGUAGGAGGCAAGCGUUAUCCGGAGUUACUGGGCGUAAAGCGCAUGUAGGCGGUUUUGCAAGUGGCGUGUGAAAGCCCCCGGCUAAACUGGGAGAGGACACGUCAGACUGCUCGGCUAGAGGUCGGUAGAGGGGCGCAGAAUUCGGGGUGUAGCGGUGAAAUGUGUAGAGAUCCCGAGGAAUACCAGUGGUGAAGACGGCGCCCUGGGCCGAACCUGACGCUGAGAUGCGAAAGCGUGGGGAGCGAACGGG